UAACUGAAGAGUUUGAUCAUGGCUCAGAUUGAACGCUGGCGGCAGGCUUAACACAUGCAAGUCGAGCGGGGGAAGGUAGCUUGCUACCGGACCUAGCGGCGGACGGGUGAGUAAUGCUUAGGAAUCUGCCUAUUAGUGGGGGACAACAUCUCGAAAGGGAUGCUAAUACCGCAUACGUCCUACGGGAGAAAGCAGGGGAUCUUCGGACCUUGCGCUAAUAGAUGAGCCUAAGUCGGAUUAGCUAGUUGGUGGGGUAAAGGCCUACCAAGGCGACGAUCUGUAGCGGGUCUGAGAGGAUGAUCCGCCACACUGGGACUGAGACACGGCCCAGACUCCUACGGGAGGCAGCAGUGGGGAAUAUUGGACAAUGGGGGGAACCCUGAUCCAGCCAUGCCGCGUGUGUGAAGAAGGCCUUAUGGUUGUAAAGCACUUUAAGCGAGGAGGAGGCUACUCUAGUUAAUACCUAGAGAUAGUGGACGUUACUCGCAGAAUAAGCACCGGCUAACUCUGUGCCAGCAGCCGCGGUAAUACAGAGGGUGCGAGCGUUAAUCGGAUUUACUGGGCGUAAAGCGUGCGUAGGCGGCUUAUUAAGUCGGAUGUGAAAUCCCCGAGCUUAACUUGGGAAUUGCAUUCGAUACUGGUGAGCUAGAGUAUGGGAGAGGAUGGUAGAAUUCCAGGUGUAGCGGUGAAAUGCGUAGAGAUCUGGAGGAAUACCGAUGGCGAAGGCAGCCAUCUGGCCUAAUACUGACGCUGAGGUACGAAAGCAUGGGGAGCAAACAGGAUUAGAUACCCUGGUAGUCCAUGCCGUAAACGAUGUCUAC
rnacentral:rRNA from 1 species